GCUCACUUCGUGAAUGUGGAAAAAUUUUGCAAAAUGGAACCUCAAAUGAAAAUACGCAGUAGGGCAAAGCCUAAAAAAAAAUGGAGUGAGGAGGAAAACCAUUUGGUUCUAGAAUAUUUACUAGAAAAUGUGGGAAUUGAGAAACCAAACGCCCAAUUGUACUACCAAAAAUUAAUUGAAACAACAAAUAUCGAUGUGACUACGGACAUGUUGUGCUGCAAGGUCCGGUACUGGAAGCAAAUGUAUAAUAAAGCUGAAGGGUGGCGCAAAUCGACUGGUGCUGGAAUAGACGUUGGCGAUGAUGUUUCCUGAAUAAAAGCAAAACUUUCACAAAUGUGUCCGAAUUAUGAACGGUUUUCGGUUCUAUUUGGGAGUAAAUCCGAAGCCAAUUGUGUUGUAGACGUGCAACAGUGUCACAAUACUGCAGCGAUUUUGCAGACCUUGUAGAGGUAGUGGAAAAUCCAGCCGAAUCAUCACAAUCAUCUCCGGAACCAUCGGGUUCACUUAACGACAAAGCAGAGCAGACAACAGUAGGAGCAGAGGUAGCAACAGUUCCUCCUACCACUCCGUCGUUCCUCAAAAAAGUGAAAAAACGUGCUCCAAAGAAUAGUGAACUUAAAUAUAUACCUAAGAAAAGAGAGCAGUUUUUUGAGCAACGAACAGAAAUUGAACAAAAAAGUUAAAUUUGGAAAAGUUAAGGCUAGAAUUGGACAGAGAAAAGUUAAAUAAAGAUUUUGAAAUAAAAAAAUUGGAGUUAGAGCAAAAAGAAAGACUGGCAAUGAUUGAACUAAAGUACAAAUAUAAUAUAUAAUAAUUUUACAUGUUUUGUGUAAUAAUUUUUAAGAAUGUUUAUGUAAAAAGAAUGAAUUUUAUAUGCUAUUGCUAUGUUUAAUAAUUUUUA